rnacentral:rRNA from 1 species
CACGUAGGGCGCAAGCGUUGUCCGGAAUUAUUGGGCGUAAAGAGCUCGUAGGUGGUUUGUUACGUCUGCUGUGAAAUCCUAGGGCUUAACCCUGGGCUUGCAGUGGAUACGGGCAGACUAGAGGUAGGUAGGGGAGAAUGGAAUUCCUGGUGUAGCGGUGAAAUGCGCAGAUAUCCGGAGGAACACCAGUGGCGAAGGCGACUUUCUGGCCUGUUCUUGACGCUGAGGCGCGAAAGCUAGGGGAGCAAACGGG